rnacentral:rRNA from 1 species
GAUGAACGCUAGCGGCAGGCUUAAUACAUGCAAGUCGAGGGGCAGCAGGACUGUAGCAAUACAGUUGCUGGCGACCGGCAAACGGGUGCGGAACACGUACGCAACCUUCCUUUAAGUGAGGGAUAGCCCAGGGAAACUUGGAUUAAUACCUCGUAAUAUUUGAGAGUGGCAUCACUUUCUAAUUAUAGCUCCGGCGCUUAAAGAUGGGCGUGCGACUGAUUAGGUAGUUGGCGGGGUAACGACCCACCAAGCCUGCGAUCAGUAACUGGUGUGAGAGCACGACCAGUCACACGAGCACUGAGACACGGGCCCGACUCCUACGGGAGGCAGCAGUAAGGAAUAUUGGUCAAUGGACGCAAGUUUGAACCAGCCAUGCCGCGUGGAGGAUGAAGGUCCUCUGGAUUGUAAACUUCUUUUAUCUGGGAAGAAACCCAUAUUUUCUAGUGUGGUUGACGGUACCAGAUGAAUAAGCACCGGCUAACUCCGUGCCAGCAGCCGCCGUAAUAC